CGUAGGUGGCAAGCGUUGUCCGGAUUUACUGGGCGUAAAGAGCGCGCAGGCGGUCGUUCAAGUCGCGUGUGAAAGCCCCCGGCUCAACUGGGGAGGGUCACGCGAUACUGAUCGACUCGAAGGCAGGAGAGGGUAGUGGAAUUCCCGGUGUAGUGGUGAAAUGCGUAGAUAUCGGGAGGAACACCAGUGGCGAAGGCGAUUACCUGGCCUGUUCUUGACGCUGAGGCGCGAAAGCUAGGGGAGCAAACGGGAUUAGAUACCCCGGUAGUCCUAGCCGUAAACGAUGGACACUAGGUGUUGGUGGUAUCAACCCCGCCAGUGCCGAAGCUAACGCAUUAAGUGUCCCGCCUGGGGAGUACGGCCGCAAGGCUA
rnacentral:rRNA from 1 species